rnacentral:tRNA from 1 species
UCCCAGGUGGUUCAGUGCUAAAAAUUCUGCCUGCAAUGCAGGAGAUUUGGGUUUGAUCCCUGAUUUGGGAA